rnacentral:lncRNA from 1 species
AAAAAAGAAAAAAAAAAAGACGUACGAAUCAAGCAUUUUAUCUAUUGAUAUCGCAGAGCCUUGCAACAAACGUUGCAGAAAUUGGAUUAAUAAAAAUCAAACUUUAAGAUCUAUGAUCCUAUGCUCCAAUAAUAAUAAUAAUAAGGGUUAUUAUUAUUUUAUUACUUUAAAAAUUAUCAAAUAUCAAAUAACUACAACAAAUAUUAUUUCCUAUUAUUUUCUUACUAUAUCUUUAUAAAAAUAGCAUUUUACUACUUUUCUGUUAUAAUCUUGACAAACAAAAUACUAAUUUCACUCUUCAUGAUUAAAAAAAAAAUACUUAAAGCUUAUUUACAAAAUAAAUUUGUAAUAUAUUUAUUAAAAUGGAUAUAAAACACCAACAUAAUUAUUUUAACUGGAAUUAUGAUAUAUGGAUUAAAAAUUUAUCUUAUUAUUUUUUUAAUCAUGAAGGGUAAAAUUGAUAUUUUAUUAGUCAACUAACGGGUCAACUAACGGUUGUAAUGAAAAAGUAGUAAAAUGAUAUUUUUAUAAAAAUAUAAUAGGAAGAUGAUAGAAGACAACACUUGUUGUAGUCAUUUGAUAUUUGGUAAUUUUUGAAACAGUGAAAUGAUAAUAACUCUAAUAAUAAUAAUAAAGAUAUAUGAUUGACCGACUAAGACCGUAACCCCCUUCAAUAAUGUAUUUACUCUUUUCAUCCAUGCUCGUUAAAUUAGAUUGUUUCAAAUCUAACGGCUCAUCCAAAAAUGAAAAAAAAAUACAAGUUAAAUACAAGGUGUUUUUUUUCCCCCAAAUAGAUUCUCAUUAUUGCAAGACAAAAUUUCAAAAUAAACAAGUUAAAUGUUGUAGAAAAUCUUCACCUGUAUAAGAUAAUAAUAAUACCUAAAUGUGAUUUUUAACCAAAGCAUCAACUGCUCUAUUAUAAUUUUUAGAAACAUGGUCAAUCUUGAAAUCUUACUAAAUUAACAGUAGAUACUUCUUAUAAUUAUUCAAAAUAGCUUAAUACAAAUACAAUGAAUACGAGGUUAUUUGUCCUUGUUACUAGAUAGUGAAGCCUUUGAUGCAUAAUAAAAUGUUAAAAAAUAUGAAUUAACAUAAUAAGAUCAAAGACAAGAACUAUAUAUGCAUUUGUACUAUUAAACAAUUUUAUUUGCUAAAGUUUGUGUACUUGUUAAGACCUUGAAGGAUUUUAUAAAAAUAUUUAAUUGGAAAAUGUAUGUUUCCCUUUCACUUUUUGAGGAAAACAAUUUUUUUUUCUUUUUUAAUUGAAGGAAAGAAAAAUCAAGUCUAAACGCAGUAUUACACUCUUUAGAAACAUACAUUUUCCAAUUAGAAACAUACUCUUUAGAAACAUGGCCAAUCUUGAAAUCUUGCUUCAAUAACAGUAGAUGCUUCUCAUAACUAUCCAGAAUAGCUCAGUACAAAUACUAUGAAUAUAAGGUUAUUUGCCCUUUAUAUUAGAUAGUCGGGCCGUUGCUGCAUAAUAAAGUGUUAAAAUAUAAAUUAACAUAAUAAGAUCAAAGACAAGAAGUAUAUUUGCAUUUGUAACAUUAAACAAUUUUAUGUAGUUAUUUAUUUUUUAACUUCGAUCUUAUACGCAAUUAAUUUGCAAAGUUUGUGUAUUUGUUAAGGGAUUUUAUAAAAAAAUGUCUCGUUGAAAGAUGCAUGCACCCCUUUCAAUUUUUGAGGAAAACAAUUUUUUUUUAAUUGAAGGAAAUUUUUUUUAAUACAAUAAAAGUCCAAACAUAUUAUACUCUCACAACUACAUGAGAAUACUCAAACUCUCCACUUUAAUAUUAAGGAGAAGAGUGAUUGACCAAUAUUACCAAGGGAUCAUUACCAAUAAAAUAAAAAAUUACAGACCCUAAAAUGUAACUUUAAAGAAUAAUAAUAGAGUUAUAAAUUCUUAUAUAAGUAAUUUUUAUACAAAUUGAUAUGGUAUAAUAUCAUUGGUUGAGUAAAUAUAUAAUAUAAUAAAGAUAAAUCAUGUGGACAAUGUGUUGGUUUCAUUCAACCAACUAUGUUACAAAAUUAAUAUAAAAAUUUAUAGAUGUAUCAUUACUCUAUUUUAAGCGAACACAUUAAAAAAUCAAAAGCAACUUUGAGAUCAUAUCACUAAAAUGGUCCGAUUAAUAAAAAUGUAUAUACCACCAAAAAUGACCAUUAAAAAUUAAAGCAACUAUAUUACCUAUAAAAAUGACAAAAUUAUUAUAAAUGACCACCGUGAAUAAUGACUGCGUCAUUAAAAAUAAAAUAAGUUAAGAGAACAUUAGAACACGUGCAGGUCAUUUUAUUAUUGUUGUUUAAAUGUUAUUUAUCGCGAUAAAAUACCAAAAUUGCCCUUAUACCUAUCGCUAGAUUCACAGGUCUGGUUAAAAUUAAACCAUGGUUAGUUCACUCACGUGAUUAACUAACCCUACUGUUACUGCGAUGCUCUAAUAAUGAGCGCCCCCACACCGGCUUGAAAAAAAAAAAUUCAACAAUAAACUAAUAAUAAAAACAUAACCGUGGUUUGAUCAGUCACGUGAUUAACUAACCUUAUUGAAUGUAACUCAAUACUCUCUAAUAAUAAGCGCCACCACACCGGCGUUAAAAACAAAAAAAAUUGCAACAAUAAAAUAAUAGAAAACAUAUCAGAAUAAAUAAUGAUAUAAUUCAACAAAAAUUCAACGUCGUUAAAGAUUCCGUUAGAUUGAUGAAGUCCGUGAGGUGAUAAAAAUUUGCCACGGGCGCAUGCUAACUUGAUGAUAGACGGGUGUCGACGGUUCAAAGGAGGAGUAAUCAGGACCGUUUGAUUGAUGAUUGAUGGUCACGAAUGCUCGGUGUGGAACCGAGAGUAUGAAAGAGGGGUAUAAAACUGGUUUUAAAAGGGAGAGAGAAUUUCGUUUAUCAGAAGAAGGAAGGAGAGCACUUUGUGUUGUUUGUUCUCUCUCUGGUUUCUCUGCGAAUUUUCAUUCACUUUCUUUCGUUUUCUCAGAAGCCAAACAGACUACUUUGGCUGAGAAUUGACGAGAAUAUGAUAACGGAAUGUUGAGAAUCUGAAUCCAAUAGAGAGAUAGAGGAGAUUUAGAGGUGUGUAUUACCAACACACUUUUGUUUUUCAUUAUUAAGAAGAUCAAUUUAAAAAAAUUGGCCGGUAUAAUUGUUGUUUGGUUCAUGCUUUAGUUUACAGACAAAUUCAAAAUGACAAAAGACGACAUGGUUCAGUUGGCUUAGUGUUAAUUCCGUAUAAUUCAUCCUCUGAUAUAAUCAUUUUAUUUGUUUUGCAGAUACAUUUCUUAAGAGAAUAGAGAAAUUUCUGUAAGGGGAAGAUCAUAAUCUCUCAUUAGAGCAGGAGAUUUUCAAGUCUUUGAAAUGCCAAUCAUUUCGCUGAGAAGCUGAUAUACAUUCGAUUUGUAUUCUGCCGACUGAAAGAAGCAAAAAAUCGGCGAAUUUGAGAUAUUGGAGGUAUAAAAAACAAGCAUAUCGAUUUUCAUCUCGUCGAUUUAACUCGGGACCGGUUCUCUUUCAUUUCAGUUUUGAAUCGGUUUCCACUUGCUUCUUAUUACGAAGCUUAUACUUAAGUUCGACUCCGAUUCUCGUUUUUUCAGCUGUUUGGCUCUGGCGAGAAUUCAUCAUUAGCGUCUACAAGAAAUUUCAGUUCCAUGAAAAUCUUGACUUGUUAUUGAUGAAAUAUUUUUUUCGUUUUGAUUUUUGUUCUUUUGACCAUCUCUCAGUCUCGUCUUAUUCGAGCUUUAAAAUUUUUGUCAGUCUCGUCUUAUUUUGAGUUUUAGCUGUGGUUGCUUCUCAGAUUUUUCUCAAAUUACCUACGUUUGGUUACUGAGAAAGAAAGCAGAGAGAAAAAUAACAUCUCAGAACUUCUUUCCAUUCUCGAAUUGAUCUCUAGAACCAACGAAUUGGUUCUGAUUGUUGCAAUUCACGAUCCUUCUUUAUUUUCUUUUUCGAACAUUUUCUCGGCAGCCGAGCAAAAGCAUGGAGCUUGAGAAAUUUUUUCUCCGCUUUCUAUGCGUAUUCUUCGUCAGAUCCUCUGGAGUGAGUACGUCUGUGAUCUAUUUUUGAAUUAAAAUUCUCAUUUUCACUGCUGAUGACUAUUACAGCAUCACUCGGUAGAGAAUUCUGCAUUUUUUCAUUUUGAAAAAUCCUUGGCUGUCGGAUCUUCCUCUUCCAGUCUUCGGUCUUCCUCAGUAUUCAAUAUUUUUGUUGCAUUUUAAUAUAUGUGAUUCUUAUGGUAAGCCUACUUUUCUUCUCAAAAUUUGGGAAAAUUCUUAGCCGUUACUCUAAAAUUUUAAUUUUAAUCAUUCGUUUUAAAUGGCGUGGAAGUUGCCGGAAAGCCGAAGCCGUAUCCAAAUUGUUCAUUUUGUUUUUCUUUUUUAGUAUAAUUCUGCAAGUUAACCGUAAUUUAGGAUGAGUAAUUGUAAUUAACUUAUCUGAAUGGGACAGGUUUGCGAAAGGAGAUGGAUAAGGACUUGUUGAGAAGCGGUAAUAAUGGGAGCACUUGCAAAGAUGGGGGAUUAUUAAGAGCUAGCUCAGAGAUCAACACUAGGCAAACGGCGUCGUCUGAUUUCGUCUUACAGUGGGGGAACAGGAAGCGACUCCGGUGCAUGAAAGUUCAAGUCAAAGACGAUUCGUCCGCUUCGGCCCAUCGGACGACGGUUCGAGUCGUAAGAACCGACAAAGACACGUCCAAUCAGCCGAGUACUGCCACCGCUAACCAUAAUAUUGGUAACGGUUAUUUUAAUCUCCGUCGACGGCCAUCUUCGCCUCCGCCACCGCCACCGCCACCUCAGCGUGUGCUCAGGUAAUAACUCGGUAUCAUCGUUUGUUUGAUUUUAUGUUUGAAUAAAAACAGAGAUUUGUAUGCUUAUUCUUACGGCGCGUAUUAAACACUGUCGGCUGAGAUGGUGGAUCUUGUUUUUAGCUGUGGGGUUGUUCGCACUGAGGGCCUGAGCCUGAACCUUCGCUGGUGUUUGCGAGGCAACUGUAGUGUUGUGUGUAUGACGUUUAGAUAAUUGAAUGGGUUGCGCGUGGGCCCGUGACGCGCUUUGUGUCCGUGUUCGCAGUUUAGUGUUAGCUCCUUUAUUGUUCGAUUUCUAUAAUCCACAUUGGCGCGGAAAAAGAUUUCGAUCUGCUCUCUUUGAUGGGUCCCUUUUUACCCUUUAUCUUUAAUUAAUGGUUUUCUGCCGCAAGAAAUAUGUUUUACCGUGGUGAAUUAUAUUUUCUUCUUCAAUUGAAUUGGUGUUUAUGUUAAAUUAAUGUUGAAGAAAGAUAGUUGCCCUUUUCAGUAAUAGCAUGAAUUUGGAUCACCUUUAGUCAUUAGUCGCUGUUGGUACACGGUCACUGUCGACAUAAUUAGUUUGUGUAAUAUCAGUAAGCCCGGAGUCAUUCUGCAUUUCUGCUGAUAUUAUUAUUAUAUUUUAAAUUCCAAUUGCAGCCUUUAUGCUUGUUUUAUAAAAUUGGAAAUAAUUAGUUCAUAGUCUGGGAUAGUAUGUCCCUUGGUAUUGUACUAUGGUUUGAUACAUUUGUCUAUUUCUGGUAGUGGAGUGGACUGUUCCAGGAAUAGAUAAUAUCAUAUGAAUACUAAGCUGGCGUCUGAAUCUUGAUGCCUAAUAACAUUUCAGCAUCAAAUUAUUUUGCUUUUGCUGAAGUGGAGGUUAGUUGGAUCUACUUGUUCAUUACAAGAUGAACUUUUAAACUUCCAAAAUUGGGGCUGAGUACUUACUUAUGAGGCUUAUACUUGUCCAUUCACUAAUUGGUCAGGUUGGUGCAAAUCAGAACUCAGGAGAGCUGAUGCCUGAUGGUGAGUUCAUAAGGUCAGGGUGUCCUUAUAUUUACUAUUGCUUUAGUUUCUAGGAUUUGAGUCUUGCUAAAGUGGGUUGCCCAUGUCAUUUCACGAUCCUUAGAAUCUAAUAGUCGCGUUUGAAGUGUGUGAUCUAUAGAUAAUGCACUUGAGAUUUGGGGAUAGUUUCACUUAUUUAUAAAUUUGAUUAGUUUCUAGACUUUAGCAUAUAAUUGGUGAAGUUUUAGAUGGUGCAUUCUCCCAAUAUUACAUUUACUGAUUUACAUUCUUAAUUGGGAAAUUGGCUGUAAUCUUUGCUUUGUUAUUUGACUGAUCUGCGGCUGCUAAUUGUAGUUUUAUAUGGGGUUAUAUUUUUAUUGUUCUCGUUAUAAAUUGACAUUCUUUAGAACGUUUUUUUAUUUUUUAAAAUCUCAAAUUGCUUCUUUUGCAGAAGAUAAAAAUAAACUGAUCAACUCACAUUUUUCCUUUAUUUUUUGAAUAAAAAUGAGGGUAAUUUGAGAUUUUGAAAAGUGAUGAUUUGAAGAUAGUUAAGUCUCACAAUUUAUGUUUUAUUCUUUUCUUUUUCUAUAUUGCAAUCUUAUUGGACUGAUUUUGUUCAAAGUUGUGCAAAAGAAGAUUAGGUUGAUUAGCAUUCCUAAUCAAACUACUCUUCUUACUCAAUUGUGCUACUCUUGACCUUUUGCAUUUGCCUAGAGGGUAGCCAACUUGUCUUGAGUUCAUCACGCCUGAUUUUAGCCCAUAACGCUGCCAAAGCGUCCUCACAUGGUGGACUCGUUGGAACUUGGAACUAGGAAACAUGGAAUUAGUAAGUUCCUGCCACGCGUCCAAUGAUGCCCAAGUCUAAUCUCAACAAAAUUUCCGCCGUCGAUUGUAAUUGUAUUAGGAAUCUGGUCCACUCUAUCCUACAUGCCAACCCAUCCAUCAACACGUAGCCCAUACCUUAGAAAAGGAAAAUGAAUCCAACGGCCUACAAACCGCCCAUAGGACCAGCUGUGCUCGUUAGAUCGAGAUUAGAAUCAAAACUAUUUUUCUCAUGGCAGCCAAGUUAGCAAAUAUCAACACUUCCUAUUUGUUUAAAAAGCGCAAUCCAAAGUCUCUCCAAAGAAGCCAAAAGAAAAAAAGAACUCACCGUAUAUGACUUUCUUCUCAAAUUUAGCCCGACUUUACUUGAUCACUCCCAAGGUUAUUUUCGUACUUGCAUAAAAAUUCACUUCAGCACAUCACUUUUUUCACUUUUUCCUUAACACUCUACUUGACUGUAUUAAAUUUCAUUUUUAUUUCACAUGUUAUGUCCAGUUAAUUGAUGUGUUGUUAUGUGUGUAUUGUUUGUUAGGAAUUCUGAGAAUUCAAGUGCCAUGAGAGGCCAAAGCAACGGUGGUGUGAGAGGUUUUGCUUCACCAGAUAGGGGUGCGCACGAUAAGAGAGGUACCCGUCACAACAAUCACAACCACCACAACAAUGAUUAUAACAAAUCAGGGGCAUCAUCGGAAACAGCUCAUGAUAGCAAGAAAGGUGGAUCCUCUUCCGCUAGUGGCGAGGCGGCGCCACCCGUGUGGCCCCCGAAAUUUGUGAUUGCUUUAACCAACAAAGAGAAAGAGGAAGAUUUCAUGGCCAUUAAAGGGUCUAAGCUGCCACAGAGACCCAAAAAGAGAGCAAAGUUUAUUCAACGCACAGUCAAUGUAAGCUUUUCUUAUUCUUUCCUUGUUUAAUCCUUCAUGAUAUCUAGACUUAUCUACGAUGUUGUUUUAGUUAUUUUAGAAUUUAGAUUUAACGAAUUUGAUUCUAGUUGCAAUUUAAUUAUCGUGAAUAAUCAUCUGUAGGAAUAUUUUAUUGGGGUACAACAUUUAGGAGCACAAGGUACAAUAGAUCUCUUGCGGCCUUUUGAUGAUAUUUUGGGAUGGGACACGGUUUUUAAGAAUGUAGCUGUUACUACAAAUAUGGUUGCUGGGUCGGACCCUGAUUUAUGUGAAACUAUGAUCUACUUUAUUAUUAUUUUUUUAUUAGUCUUCAAUUUUUGUUUUCGCUUAAAAAUAGGGCUGUGUGUAAAGUGACCAGUGAGAUAUACAUGUCCACGUGUCGGUAAAGGCGUGGACGUGUACCUAAAAAUGACCUGUAGUAACGUUAGCCUCCCAGUGACCGAGUCCUGGUUUGGGUGCGGGAUGUAGAAUAAAUUAACAAAAAUCUGGGGUGGGAAUAUUACCCUUGCCCGAGUUUUGUGCUUUGAUAAUCAAAUUUCUCUUGAUUUAGUCGGAAAAUUCCAUUAAAGUAAUGGUACAUAUUUUAAAUCUUUUGUUUUUAAAAAUUAUUCUAAAUAAUGUGGCAUUCCGUAAUGCAGUAAUUCAUACUUUACUUCGUGGGGGAGAUAAUUGAAUAACAAGAGACAAUUGAGUUGUCAUUAAGUUUUUUCUGUUUUUGAUUUUUUUUAUGUUUAUGUUCCAAUUUAUCAAAAUCAAAUAUUCUUACGACCAAUAAGAGUUACUUAAGUCAAGAUUUUACCGUAAGAGAUUAUCACGGUAAUACCGCAAUUUUGAAUUUAUUUUACUUUUCUUGGCUACGGGGAGUUCUUUUUUUUUUUUUUUAAAGAAAGCGUUGAAAAUGUUGGAUAUGUGGAAAUGAGUAAUAAUAGAGUUAUAAUUACCUUCUAUAAGUAAGUGUAUAUAAAUCGAAGUGACGUGACGGAAUUAGUUAUAUAAAAUUAUUAUGGGUUUAUAUAAUUAAAAAUUAAUUAUUAUUAUUAUUAUUUUUAGCUAAUUUUUAUCCGUCAUUAAUUUGUAUAAAUUAUAAAAUCAUUCGUGGGUUUAUCAUUUUACAAGAAUAUGAGGGGGUAACAGAAGGAUAAUUUUUAAAAACGUUUGAGCUUGUUGCAAGUAGAUGGCGAGAAUUAGUUUAUUUGUAAAAAAUCUCCUACCGUCAAUUAAUUUUAAUAUUGACCGUUAGUUGACUGUGCAAAGACAAUAUUAUCCUUAACAAUAGUUUGUAGACGGAAAUAACUAAAAAAAAAUUAAAAUUAUUGGUUAUUUUACACUCUUUAAAUUAUUGAUAUUUUUUUAAAGUUUCUACAAAAAAGAUAAAAUUAAAAACUUGAAAAAUUUUCUUUAAAUUAUUGAUAUUUUCUUAAAGUUCCUACAAGAAAGAUAAAAUUAAAAACUUGAAAAUGAAAUAGUCAUAAUCUUUACUUAUGAUAUUAUAAAUCUUUGGAAUUGACAAGGAUAAUAUUGUUAAAAAUAGGGUUUGUGCUUUUCGCGCCAAUAAUUUUAAUUUUUUUUUUAGUUAUGUCAGUCUAAAAACUAUUGUUAAGGGUAAUAUUAUCUUUGUACAGUCAACUAACGGUCAAUGUUAAAAUUAACUGACAGUAGGAGAUUUUUUACAAAUAAAUGAAUUUUUGUCAUCUACUUACAACAAAUUUAAACCUCAAGGAAAGUUUUUAAAAAUUAUCCGGUAACAGAAUGCCUUAAACGUGGUACGUGGGGUCAACAAGGACGUGGUAGUACAGAGCUGGAAACUGUAUUUUUCUCUUGGUUUUAACUUUUAAACAUUAUGAGUGUCUCAGAUUGAGAUGGAGGGAUCAAUCUGCAACACGUGUACGAUGGCGAUUCAAUAGACAACACAAACUUAUCAACGAAGUAAGGUCCAAAUACUCACCAAAGGUAAUAAUAUUCUUCGUAAAAGUUUAACCGACGGAAGCGGAUGGGCCCUUUGCCCAUUAUUGUGGGGCAUUUCCGUAAUAUGGACAUUGCUUUUUGGUGAAUUAACUUUUCUUGUCUCUAAUAGUUUUUAAUGAUUAAUUUUCUCUUUAUUGAAAUAAUAUUUAAGAAUAAUUUAUAAUAAACAAUGGAGGUGGUUUCGUGACUCUUGUAGUGGUCCUCCAGGCUGGACCACACUGACAGUGCGUGGAGAGCAAAGAUUGCACGUAGUUUUUCGUCCAUAACUUUCUUAAACGCACGACUUGUAGACGAUUCUUUUUGCAAGUAGUUUUUUUCUUUUUGAGGUUGCAAGUAUCUUCUUGCUUAUGGUGGAAUUAUUUUUUUUUACAAAUUAAUUGAAAUCAUAACUGUUUUAAAAAAGCACAGGAAUCUCUCUUUAUUGCAUCCCAAUCAAAAUCAAAAUCUGAAAUUAAAGGCCAAAGUUGCAUUGAGUUUAUGUUUUUCUUUGCAGCUGGUAAGUCCCGGUGCAUGGCUAUGUGACCUGACCCUUGAACGUUAUGAAGUUAGAGAGAAGAAAAUCUCCAAGAAGGUACUUUUUGUAUUACAACUCCCCAAUUGGAGAAGCAUUUACAUUAAAAAUUAAUGGAGCAUAAUGUUUGUAUCGGGGAUCUAAUCUGAUGCAGAGACCGAGAGGAUUGAAGGCUAUGGGUAACAUGGACUCAGACUCAGAGUAGAGGAAGAGGAAGAUGAAUAGCUGUUGAUAGCUGUUGUUUUUUGUUUGUUGAGAAUAUGACAAAAUGUUGCUACCCUGUAAAUCGUUACCUUUCGUCCCUCCCUCUGAGAUGAAUGAAAGGAUAAAAUUUUAGCCAUAUCUUCUCUCUUCUCUCUUCUCUCUUUCUCUCUUCUCUCUUCUCUCUCUCGGUUAUUUUAUUAUUAUUAUUAUUAUAGAGGCAUCAGGCAUCAACACCUGUUUUUGUUUUGCUUAUAUUUUUCUUUUGUUUCAGCUUUAUUUAGGUGCUGGUUGACUGAGCUGGUCACGCUUUAGGCCCAGUAGUGGGCUACGUCCAUUUUGCUGGUUAACAAGUUAAAAGCUACUUUACCAACUUGGUAUAACCUGUCUAAAGUGGGAGUGACGAAUGUGCCACUAGCUUUGCUUAUAGACAAAGCAAGGCUAUUUUCGCACAUUACAAGAUGGUUGAGCUGAAGUUCAUGAAUAAGCUCAUUGGCUACUGGACAAAUAUGGAGUACUAAUAUAAAUUAUUUCUGCACAUUUUAUUGUGCAAAUUAAUACGAAGAGACCUACAUCAAUUAUUUUUUAAGUUAAAAAAUAAUCAAUUGCACAAAGCGUGCAACAAUAAUAUAAAGGGUUUCGAUUAUGUUGGAGUUUACUUACAGUGGUGUGUGAACUUCAGUCAUACAAUAAUAUAUAAGAGUUUGAUUAUGUUGGAGUUCACUUACGGUAGAGCGCGAAUCUCAAUCAUACAAGGAAAGUGAUGAAUAAUAAAAAAUGAGUUAUUUUUUUAUUAUUUAUUAUUUUACGUGUAAUUAAAAUUCGUAUUUUACCGUAGGUGAAUUCCAACAUAUCAAUAACCUAAUAUAAAAUGUCAUCUCAAACUGUAUUAAUGGAAUAAUUAGUGCUUGUUAAAGAGUUUAUAUUUCUAGAAUUUUUGAUUUAGUAUAUAAUUAUGUAGGGCAAAGCAAACGGGAAUCAACAAUUACGUGGUAGGGUCCACAAACCAACUAUAAUAUUCGUACAAGCUAAGCAAAUGUUGGGGAACUCCAGGUGGGGGGUUGGGUGGGGGCGAAUGAAAAGGGAGAACAACCUCAGCUCACCGGUCAAAUAAUACGUUGCAAAUCACGCUUAGCCAUUGAUUACAAAAGGAUGGUUGGGCCGAAUGAGUCAAUUUCGCAAAGACUGCCUUGUCCAACAUAAACUUUUCGAAAAUCAUCAUUCUGGCGACUUCUUCCAAGGCAUCGCCAAGUGUAAUGAUAUACCCCUAUAAACCAACAAAUUGAAUCAUUGCACAUUUGAUCCCCCUGUUGUUUUCUGUUUCACGAAGGUGCCACAGACCCGAUGACUUGGACUUGGAAUAAUUAAAAAAAGGCCAAAAAAAAAAAAAAUGUUCCUGUUGGUCAUGUUAAAGGCACAGAUUCCCCUUCUCCUCCAAUUCUCUCAUUCAUUGUCCUUUCGCACAAUUGCACAUGGGAAUGGGAGUGCAGAAGCCAAGGAGUAAGCGUGUCAGCUGUGCCUUGCCACUUGGGACUUUUUUGUUUAGGGAAGAUACGAAUUACUGUUUACAAGUGCAUUACUUUUACUUAUCAUCGAUUCUUGUGGGAAAUGUAUUUCCUCUUCUGUCGUCCGGCGAACGCGAUUCGAGUGAAAUAAAAUUAAAUUGAUUUACAUAAAAAAAUUAAAAGAAAAGCGGAUAGUGAAUGAUAUAUAACAUAACAACAAAAGGAAUAGCUUAAUAUAUACUGAUAAUAAUCAUAAGUCUCCAAAAUAACAAACAUAAAUCAAAUCAUAUCAUCACAUCUCCGUGAGCUACAAAGCAUAACUGAUAACUCUCUCUCAUUAUAAAAUUUAUAUGUAAUAAGACUCACUCCCUAAAAGACUAAAAACCCAGUGGAUCCGCCGCUACUAAGCCCACAUAACGUCUAAACAACGCAAAAAAAGAAAAAAAAAUGAAGAAACCACUCUACACACCCAAUAAGCUAGUGACACGUAAUCAGAUAGAGAACCGGCCUCUUAAACCCUGAGAACUGAGCCGAACACCAGAGCGGAAAGGAGAGCGACACCAGCGGCGGCUAAGGAAGGCGAGAUCGAGCCGGCUCCGGAAGCGGGAGCUGGAGCGGGAGAGAGAUCUUGAGCCGACCCUGCGAGAACCAAGGCGGCCAGGACAACGGCCAUCAUCAGCGUAGCCAUUGAAGCCUUUGAGAAUGCCAUUAUUGAAGCCUUUUUUUCUCAGGGUUUUUGAGAGCGUAACCGAAGGAAGCUGAGAGAGAUUCUUUUUCCUGUGUCUGUAUGUGGGAAGUGUUAGUAUUUAAGACAUGAGAAGAAAAUAGUGAGGUUUAUUUAUAGACUGAAAAGUGUGGACGGGAAGAGAGAAUUUCGGGCAGCGGCCCGGAUUUUUCCAGUCUGUCUAUUGGUUUCUUGACAGCUAUGUUUAUUUGUGGGGCCCAGUUAAUUAUAAUUUCACGCGACCGUUUAGGGUAUCGAACGGCGAAGCGACGUCGUGUCGGUUCACGAGUGUGACUUACGCCGAGGAAAUAAUUGAUUCUUUGGGAUUGGGAAAAAUUUGAGCAAAGUAAAAUUACGGAAACAGCAGCGAAUUAUAAUAUCGCAGUCUGUGAUAAACUUGAUAACUAUCUACUUGAAUUGAUAGGACAUAUAAAAAGAACAUUGUAUUAUUUAAAGGAUUGAAUAAUUUAAUUGAUAAAAAUCUCUUACCGCUAAGUUUGGAGAUCCAUUUGCACUCAAAUUUGGUGGAGGAAAAUUUUGAUUUCAGUUGUGUUAUGUUAUUAACAAAAAUUAUUGUUCAAAAAAUGCCUUUUUGUAGCUGCAAUAAAUGAGAAAAUUUUAAAGUACUUUUUUUUUAUUAUUUAUAUAAAUUGAACGAAAUCUUGGUGUGAUUAUUUUGUAAAUUCUCGAGAACUUUU